GGUUGCAGAGGAGCAAAAGAGAAAACAGUGAAGGAAGGAAAGAAAGGGAAAGGGGGGGAAAGGAGGGUGGGGGGGAAGGAAGGAGGAGAAAGAGAAGCAGCAUCUCUGGGCAGGCGAGGCAUGCAUGCCCUAAGCAAGCUCUGAGAGAAUGGCUGUGGAAGCUAUCCAUUGCAGUCUAAAUCCAAAUGGUAUCGAUUUGUCUGUCCACACGGAAGGAAUUAACCUGCAACUGGAAGGUGAGAGAGUGGAUUCAUCCUCACUCAAGAAGGAAAACUCUUCUAAGCUGCCAGAGUCAAAAGGAACACCCAAGAGGCAUCAAGGAGAAUCAGAAGCAUCUAAGUCAAAUAUUGUGAAACUGACCAAACCAGUGGCACUGUGGACGCAGCAGGAUGUGUGCAAGUGGUUGAAGAAACAUUGUCCUAAUCAGUAUCAGAUCUACAGUGAAUCAUUCAAACAGCAUGACAUAACUGGUCGUGCAUUGCUCAGGCUGACAGACAAAAAGCUUGAGCGGAUGGGGAUUGCUCAGGAGAGCUUGCGGCAGCAUAUUCUGCAGCAGGUCCUUCAGCUAAAAGUGAGGGAGGAGGUCCGAAACCUUCAGUUACUCACGCAAGAAGCCUAGAGUUGAGAAACUCUGCUUUAAUCAUACAGGAAGCCCUUUAUGAACAGAAGACUCUACACUUGCAUGCUGCUUCUGGAAUGCCUCAACAGAGAGUUCUCCAUAAAUGUUACCAGCCUCUAAAGCUGCUGCCCUGCCAGAUGAUCGGAAGUUGAACUUUUCCUACAUGAAAGAUAAAAACAAAACAUAAGCAACGGCACUGCCACAAAGACAGCCACUGACAAUUGGAGAACCUACCAAAAUCCCAUCCAUUUCAUCCAUGGAUUAAAGCCUGAGAGGUCUUGGUUUGCUUAUAGAAUGAAAAUGAGACUCUAUGAUGAAAAAGUGCUAACUUUCACCAGCUAAUUAUCAGUGGACCCAUUACACUGGAAAACGUCUCCCAGUUUUCAUCACUGUGCAUAAACUCUGUGUUCCCAUUAGGGACCUCUCUGUGACCUUCACUAAAAGUUCUGGGAUGUAUCCCCCCACCCCAUUGUUCUUUUUGUUCUUCUGAGCAUGUCAAAUACUGGGGAAUAUUAUGUAUGCAAAUGGCAUGAUGUUUUUAGGGGAGUGGGUGGGAGGGAUGUCCUAGAUCUGCACAAUCAGUGGAAAUGUUUGCCAGUAUCCUUACUCCCUGUCACCUGAUAUGGAUGUCAAAAUAUUCUGUUUGUGUUAAUAACACAGCUGAAUGGUAUGCCACUUUACAGUACCAGCAGUUCCCCAUUGGAUCUCCUUACAGACAUUCUAGCCAAUUUGACUGUGUUAUGGGGAAAAUUUGUGAGAGCACAUCCAUUCAGUGUUUUGGGUUAACUGCACUGGGAUGAUACGUUAAGUAUAGUCCAUGGUAUGCAUUGCUUCACUGAUUCAUGCAAGGUUGGUUUGGUAUCUUGUCUGGAUGUUGUCAUGGCUGUUUUGACACUUGACUUGUAGAGUUAGUAGAAUGAGAGCAUGUAAGCUUCUUUGCUACACACUAACACUCCAAAAAUUACAAGUGGAACUAUACUUCUGUUGUUUCGAUGCAUGUUAAAUAAUAGAGGAAAGGAAAAUGAUAGAUAAAAACAAUACCCUCUUGUUGCAAGAAUCCCUUGCCCUUGAUGAAGACAGACAUAACAUUUUGGGGAAAGGAAGGCCAGUCUGGAUGUAUCCUUACCAGACUGAGUACAAAUAUAUCUUUCCCCAGGUGAGCUCUGAAAAACAUAUACAGCCAAAGCCGGCUGUAAUGAGUGCUGAUUGGCUAGUGCAAGUGCCAUUGCUAAAACCAUGCCUUUUUCUUUCCUGGAACAGUUUUUUUUCAGCUGUUUUCAAAUACUGACUAGUUUUUAAUUGGGGGAGGAAAGGUGAAAGAUGCACAUAUGAUAAGGAUGACUACAUCUGCAAAAGCUACUUUAAAUAAAAUACAUAUUUUUCUAAGAAGGUGCAUACUUCUCUUGAAACAGGUUGGAUUGGUGAUCCAGCAUUUUAUUUGCUGGUACAUGAUGAUAUGUAUACUGUAGGUGAUGAGCUUAUUGUGACCACUGUUGAAAUGUUAUGUCUAUCUUCACCAUUAGAAACAAUUUGUGUCUAUGGUCAAGAGUAUGAAUACUUGAAAAAAUACUACCUUCCUUCUUUUCUUUUCUUUUUAAUUUUUUGUCUUUAUGUAUAUGGUGAUAUUUUAUGGAUGAUGUCUUUGCAACUUUAGGAAUGACGCCUGCAGUUGUUUGUAGGGUAGUAAAGAUGAGUAGCUGUGAUGACUUCCCUAGUUUCUGGAGGACUGGAGCCUUCAGUAAACCCAUAUGUUGCUUUCCAUUAUGUUAAUAAGCUGUUCUAUCUAAUGACAUUUUCUUCCUUGGACACUCACUUUAGACCUGGGGUUCACCCUUUAUAUCAGUCACAUCUGCCACAUCAUCCCCAAAUUCUUCUUUCAUUAACCUGACAACUCACUUCUGUUAGGUUACAAUUGGACUGGUUAUGUCAACAUUUCAAAAGCCAAGUGUACUUUGGAAUAUUUAACAGAGUAUUAAGGGACCUUCUGUUAGUUCCCAUGGAGUGAUUGAAUUUAAAUCUGUCUUAACUAUCCUUUUGGCAAUCAACUUUCUUUUCUCACUCCCACCAAAUGCUUUCUUACAAGAAAGUAAGGUCAAGUAAAACUGUUCACUUUCAACAAAACUGCAGCUGGCAGAAGACUGUUGCAUCCAAAGUGAGCUUUGCUCUUCACCAUUCAUUUUUUAGGUUGCACAGCAGGCUGUGGCUUAAUUUUCAUAUUCACCCAGGGUUGUUGUGGGGGGGGAGGGUAAUUUUUGUUUUGUUUCUUGUUCAAAGAAAAAUCCUUUGUAGCAGACAAUAAUGGUAGCAUCCAUAGAAUACACAAUUGGUUGAACUUACUAGUCCCUAAAUCAAAGGUUGAGAGAACUGCCAUUGAUCUGUCUCUCCUAUGUCAUAGACUGUUAUGUUAUUGAAUGGCUUUGUUUAUGCCUAGCUGGCAUGUAUGAGCUUUCAUAUAAUUUGUAUCUUGAGAUUUGACAAUGCUACCAUUUUUAUCUUAAGCCUCUAUAAAACAAACAACACAACAAGCUGCUCUGUGUUUACACAUGGAUCUUGAACCACUCAUCUUCUUUUUUUUUCUUGCAAUCACUUGUCAUUUCCACUGCUGCUUCCUCUGCCAUUCAAAGUUCUUGGACUGAGCAAAAAGAACCCCAAGCAAUCUACAUUUUCACAAAAUCAAAACUUAUCAGCAUGCCUUAGGAUGGAAGUAAGGAAUGGUUAUGUUUGAUCUACCCUAGGGGAUGAAUUGAAAUAUGUGUACUGUAUAUCUCAAAAUCCAUCUCACUUCAUUGUGACCUCCAAUCAAAACAGUCCCAAUGAAUUGCCACCAUUUUCAUAAUCUGGUGGCAGGGUCUAUGAAGUUUAGCUGUAUCUUGGUUACUAAGCAGUUUUCAUUUGUAUUAGUCUUAAAGAAGAUUAAGAGCACUUAGUCCUAGAAGAUUUUAUUCUGUUACAUUAGCUUUCCCUAACUUGGGGCCUGAACAGACAGGCCAAAAUAAAGCUGCUUCAGGUCACUUUG